UUCUUUACUAUCGUUGAAAAAAUAUGGCGGUUGGUGACCACGUUAUGAUUUGGAUUUUGGAUUGUCAACGGUACUUUCCGUGUGUGUUAACCUACAGUAACAAGACCCACGGAUAACAAAAGACGUUUACAUCAAAAGUUCGUAAGGAAAAGAAAGAAAGCUUUUGAAUAAAUUUACGAAAAGGACGAAAAGAGCUUGCGAAAUGUGAACGUACGGUAUGAAUGCAGGAUAUCAGCCAGAGGUCAUUCAGGCCCACUUUAAAAUUAAACAAGCAUUAUUAAGCAUGUUCUAUGAGGACCUUGGAGAGUAUGAAAAGUGAUACCAGUUAUCUUUGAUAGCUGCAUAUUUAUCUCCUCAAGAUGCCGAUGAAUGGCUACGAUUAGCCGAGGUCAUGAUCAGAACUAUGGAAAAUAUUCUGUCCACCAGGGAAUGACGCCUUAGGAGAAAGAACUGCGGUUGCGAUCUUCAACAAUAUUGCGUAACAAUAUUGCGUCUUUGCUGCAGGAAGAAUUCAUCCAGUUAACGCUAUUUCGUGUGCCCUGACACUCAGGAUACGAAUCACUUGUAAUCCCAAAUUGAGCGAAGAUGGUGGACGAGAGUAGCAACCUGCAACCCAGAAGCUGCUCAACUCUAGAAGGCGUUGAGCGAAGAUGAAAUCAAAGUAAAUUGCAGUUGGUUCCGUGUCCUCCACUACCAAAUCAGUCGCUCUGCUCAGAGCCUGAUUGAAGUGAUUGACGAAUUUGAUGAAUUUUGAUGCUUUAAGACUUGGAGACCAUAUUUUCCACCACUUCGAGAAGCUGAGUAAAAUUCUACUUGUACAAUGUUAAGAAUGGCACCUUUUGAUAAAAGGAACUUCAGCCAUCCAAUCUAGGACUUCCAUCCAAUCGUGCAGGCUGCAUGGAAGUCGCAUUUACCUUUGCUGUGAACAUCAUGAACACAUACACUAUUUGAAGGUUCAUGUUAACAUAGCAGUGGUGUUGCUGUCCAAUGUGGCGUGUUAUUGCAGCCUAUGGCGGUGAAAGAUAUCUGCAUCCAGCAUUGUGUUUAAUUGCUAUUUGUGUCUAUGCAGUUUACCUUUUAUAUAUUGAGAAGGAACACAAAAAAGUAAUACGGGGAGGUUCAUGUCAAACAAAUAAAAACAUGUCCGCGAUUGGGGAAUGAGGAGGGAGUUGGGGUGGGAUAUUUGAUUAUCAUUUACUAAAAGAAGUGAGGUGUGUUUUUAAUGAAUACGCAAUACUUAGUGAUAAAAUUUGUUGUUAACCUAUAUAACCUUCCUCACUUACACAUCCAUUCCUCAAACCCCAUAAACACCAACAUCAAAUCCCACAUCCACUUACAUCCAUUCCUCAAACCCCAUAAACACCAACAUCAAAUCCCACAUCCACUUACAUCCAUUCCUCAAACCCCACAAUCUCCAACAUCAAACCACACAAUUGUUGUAUAUCUAUAACCAUCUAUAUAUAUAAAUAAAUUAAAUGUCAUUGUA